AGUGAACGCUGGCGGUAGGCCUAACACAUGCAAGUCGAACGGCAGCACAGGAGAGCUUGCUCUCUAGGUGGCGAGUGGCGGACGGGUGAGGAAUACAUCGGAAUCUGCCCAGUCGUGGGGGAUAACGUAGGGAAACUUACGCUAAUACCGCAUACGACCUUCGGGUGAAAGAGGGGGAUCGCAAGACCUCUCGCGAUUGGAUGAGCCGAUGUCGGAUUAGCUAGUUAGCGGGGUAAUGGCCCACCAAGGCGACGAUCCGUAGCUGGUCUGAGAGGAUGAUCAGCCACUCUGGAACUGAGACACCGUCCAGACUCCUACGGGAGGCAGCAGGGGGGAAUAUUGGGCAAUGGGCGCAAGCCUGAUCCAGCCAUACCGGGUGGGUGAAGAAGGCCUUCGGGUUUUAAAGCCCUUUUGUUGGGAAAGAAAUCUUUCAGGCUAAUACCCUGGGAGGAUGACGGUACCCAAAGAAUAAGCACCGGCUAACUUCGUG
rnacentral:rRNA from 1 species